UGUGACUCAGAGAGGUUAAGUUAAUGGUCAGUUUUAUCAACAAGUUGUAGAGUUGGGAUUUAAAUCAUACUGUACUUUUGUAGGUAUAACACUUAUCAAUUAAAAUUCGUAUGCCUCCCCUUCAUUUCUUUCCCUUGAUUUUAUUGUAUUACAUAUUUUUAAGUAUAGAAAAAUAGAAAAAUAACAUAACAGCUACCUAUUUCAUCCCCAACUCUGAUUUCACAAAUACUGACAUUUUGUCAUGUUUUUGUUGUUGCUGUUGUUUUGUUGUUUGCCUUUUGGAAGUAAAAUGUACUAAAUGGAGCUAAGUCAAGCAGCAGCAGGACAUAGUGUGAAGCUGCUCAUCUCGUCUCUCUGUUCCCACAGCUACAAUCCUCUGUUAGUUUCCUAGACCCUUUCUUCUGGACUACAUCAACAAACUCACGUGCACUCUCCCUUGCUCCAGUCUGCCUUUGAUCAAGUCUAUUGCUUAUACAACUGGUAUGAUAAUAUUCUCCAAACAUUGCAUUCCUCCUGUCAAACUCCUUUUCAAUAAUACACAGAGCCUCAUUGUUAUCUGUGUUAUCAAACAUUUAGCACUCAAAAACCCACAUCACAGGGGUCCUUUUUUUUUUCUUUUUAACACUUUUCCCCUAUAGACCCGUCCUUUUUAUAUGAUAUAGUGUCCCUUUAUACCUUACAACAUCCCAUGGCUUCAUCUGGUUUGUGGUUGUGGUUUUGACCAAACCAUGCUCUUGGUUUUCUUGCCAACUUUAUUAAAAAUAAGCCUCUUCCAGAAGGUAUUAUCUCCUUCACUCCAUUGUUUCUCUUCUGGGUAUGGCUUUAGUAUUCACGGAUUUAGUUUGUAAAAAUACAUACCAUUUAACACUUUUCUUGGUUCUGAUACCUCUUGGUUCAAGAUGGUGGCCUGAGAACAUUUAUAUGCCUCCUGGCUCUUAAAAAAUAUCACUAGAAUGAAAAUAAAUGUAUACAAAAGUGAAUAAACCCAUAAUAGCAAGAUAAUAGGAGUAAGGGCCAACAGUGAACUAAGGCUAUUAAUACAAUUCUGGCAGACAAAAAGCAGAUGUGUGUGGUGACAAGGGAGACAAAGCAGAAAUAACUACAAGCCAGAAUAACAGAGACUCUGUUUAAAAAGCCAUAUCUGGGGCAAUUUUCUGGGGGCUCCAGGAAGAGGCGCCGCAUAGCGUCAGCAAGGACUCAAAAGGAGCACUUCCCAGUGAAGCAAAAGAGUGGCGUAAUAAUUGGAGAACCCUCACGACGUGUCAGCCCCACCACGGCCCCAUAAAUGUAGCAUGAGUGCGAGCUUGAAAUUUGUAACAUGAGAUGAAAACUGGAGAAGCAUCCCUAAAAUAUAUGAACCAAUCUGCCUAGAAAUAGCUAGGAAUCUGCCACCAGAAAGAUGAAUAAAAUAAAAGAUUGAAGAAGUAGCAAGUAGCAGUAUGGAAGACUUGUGGCUAAGAUAUGUGUCUUGGGAAAAAGAAGGGCUGAAUGUUAACACAACUAAGGGUCUCACUGAUUCCCCAAUGAAGCAACUUCACGGGGGAACCCCUCUAAGAGAUUUUCUCUCUGCAUUCACAGAAGACACUUCGCACUGUUAUGCACCAGGAGGAUUGACUGUCUCUGUGGCUUGGAGGCAGUUAUACGUAGCAGCAGCAGCAGCAGCAGCAGCAAAAGUUAACAGGAGCCGGAGUCUGUCUUCAAAGAGCAGUCAGUAGAGAUGAAGAGUAGAUUACUGAUUCCAUAGUACAUGUCAGAUACUGCCUAGGGACUUCCUAAGUAGAGGUCAAGGUCCCACUGUUAUACAGUGUAUAAAUUCACAGAAGUCAGAAGCUGAAUGCAGUCACAAAGAGAGCAAAGCACUUUGUAAAGUGAACUCAAUACCCCCGUUGGGGCUCAGAAAACAGUACCCCAAAGUGAAGUCCUCAGAAGCAGCCCCAAAAGUAAAGUCUCUGACCUUCUCCUACCCUCCCAUCCUCUCUCCCUUCCUUCUCCACUGAGGCAAGAUAGAAACUAAAAUUCCUCUUCCCCAAGGAACCCCGCCUUUUUGUGUAACAGUUGGCCAUAAAGAAAUUAAGACCUUCAUUCCAGAGAGUCCUAUUGCAUGCCUGAGAGGGAGGAAGGCUGCACAGAGACGCCAAGAAGCUGGACAGUCCUUGCUGGGUUUCCCCACUCAGUCUUUAAGCAUUCGAUCAUACCCCUUCUGUCCAGUUGUAUUUUACAUGGCUGUCCAUACAUCAUUGAAUGUCAGUGUAAAAAUGGAUUGUUUUCCCUGUAUCUUUGGGUCUUUAUUCUGAAGUCUCUUUUAAAACUAUGAUCAA